UCGGACUUUCGAGCGGGUGAAAUUUCACCCGCUCGAAAUGGACUGUUUUUCAAUUGAGCUCGACCUCCCUCCGCAGCGCUCAACCUCACUCCGCUCGACCUCCCUCCGCAGGACCUCCCUUCGCAGCGCUGGACCUCCCUCCGCAGCUCCUCCACUGCGCCGUCGCGUCUCCGUCGUUACCUCUCUGCGCCGUCGACUCUCUGCCACAGUUGCCGCUCCUUCCCUCUGCUACUGCUCGUUGGGAGCGGUGCCAACCAUUAGUCUAUCGGUACAAGGGUGCCCUCUUCAGAUCGUUUGAUUCAUUGAAAGUAGCUGAGUAUCACAUGCAUGAGUAUGUCUACAACAAGUAUGGUGUGCAAGUAUGUAGGCCUCCACUCAUUGAAGAUGACAUCGCAGAUGAAGAUAUAGAAGACACGAAGCUUGAAGAACGAAAGUGCAGCUACAAAUGUUGGAUUACUUCUUUUGCGAUUGCAUGUUUUUUUUGUUGGAUAUGUACUCAUUAAACUUCUGCUUUUCUGGAUAGUAGGGAAUACACUUUUUUGUGGGAUUGUACUCAUUAAACUUAUGUGGACAUGUACUUUUGU